GACGUAGGGCGCGAGCGUUGUCCGGAUUUAUUGGGCGUAAAGAGCUCGUAGGCGGCUUGUCGCGUCGAAUGUGAAAACCCGGGGCUCAACUCCGGGCUUGCAUUCGAUACGGGCAGGCUAGAGUUCGGUAGGGGAGUCUGGAAUUCCUGGUGUAGCGGUGAAAUGCGCAGAUAUCAGGAGGAACACCGGUGGCGAAGGCGGGACUCUGGGCCGAUACUGACGCUGAGGAGCGAAAGCGUGGGGAGCGAACAGG
rnacentral:rRNA from 1 species